AUUGAACGCUGGCGGCAUGCCUUACACAUGCAAGUCGAACGGCAGCACGGGAGCAAUCCUGGUGGCGAGUGGCGAACGGGUGAGUAAUAUAUCGGAGCGUGCCCAGUGAUGGGGGAUAGCCCGGCGAAAGCCGGAUUAAUACCGCAUACGACCUACGGGUGAAAGCAGGGGAUCGCAAGACCUUGCGUCAUUGGAGCGGCCGAUAUCAGAUUAGCUUGUUGGUGGGGUAAAAGCCUACCAAGGCGACGAUCUGUAGCUGGUCUGAGAGGACGACCAGCCACACUGGGACUGAGACACGGCCCAGACUCCUACGGGAGGCAGCAGUGGGGAAUUUUGGACAAUGGGCGCAAGCCUGAUCCAGCCAUGCCGCGUGCGGGAAGAAGGCCU
rnacentral:rRNA from 1 species